ensembl:lncRNA
UCUGAACCCAAGAUGGCACCAGCUAGGCUUCCUCCUGUCUGAUACCUUCAAGGAAAAACUCAGGUAGGAGCUUCUUAGCAUUUACAGCCAUAAAAUCCUUUGUUUCAGGAGGAAAUGUGUGAAGACAGAGACCCAUCUCCUUAAAACCCUCGGCCUCAACCAGACUGCGCGCUCAGCCCUCUGCCUCUCAGCUGAGCCGCCCACCUGGCCUGGUCAGGUGUAAUCUCUCUACUCAAUCAUGUAACCUUGCCCCCCCACCCCACCCCAGUCUCUCAGGCUCUGUCUAGAGGGGUGCCCAUCCAUCCUUACGGAUGUCCCUUCCCUAAUAAACCUUGCUAUUUUACCUCCCACUACUCUGUCUCACACCUGAAUUCUUUCUUGCGUGAAGACAAGAACCCUGCAAUUUCUCCGGUAACAUUUUUGGCGACCACGAAGGGACUUUGAGAAGACAUCGGAGGUCAGUAUUCCUUCCCUCAAGUGGGACCGGAUCUGUGGAAGUGACCGUUGAGUGUCCGGCACCCCACAGCUCUCCGAGAACGCAGAGUCCCCCCGGCCACAGCUUAGCUACGGCCGAAACUCCAGAGGGAUUGUAAGGAAUGGGAGGGAAAUUAGGAAGGGCAGUUGGCUGAGAGCCUGGAGACCCCCUGAGCUCGCUUUGGCUUCCCGGCAGCCGCACUGCGACCAGAGGACCAGGUCUCUCUCUUGGAGGGACCCCUGGUCAUGCUGCCUACUGCUACGCGAGCAGGGCUUAGCUUCGGCUGAGGCUAAUAUUGGCCCUCCAGAAGGGAAGUUACUACCGUUCUGCAGGACUCUCCACUGUGAUGUACGGUUUGAUCCCCAGACCUUAUGUAAGGGAUGACUGACCUUUUCUGUAAUAAUGCCUGGCCACAGUAUAGGGCCCCAAACAACAUAGCCAGAAAAAGAGGUUAAAAUGUGACAGCUAAAUUGAUUUUUCGGUGUACGCGGUAAAUGGGCAGAACUCCCCUUUUAACCAAACUGAGGGAUAGAUAGGAAAUUGCACUGAUGACCUCAAAGUAUACAAAAGCAGGUCACCACAGUUGAUCUUACCUAAAAGGUCAUAGCUCUCCUCAUGGGCACGGUUUUAACUCGCAGGAAAAUACUAAGUGUCAGAAUUUACCCAUGACCAUAGUUUUCUAGCUCACCCUGAUAUUAAAAAAAAAAAUCUCCAAAAAUCAAGGUUGGGUUGAGCACCCCCUUGACUGGCAUCAUAGAGGCUGCCUCCAUGUUCUACUUUAUCAGAGACCAGGAGAAUGAGGAGCAAGCUAGCAGCAGGAGCGAUGUAGGGAUAGGCAACAGGCCAAUCAAUGACUGUUCUGCACGGCAAUCUACUGCCAAGGAGACCCAGCAAGGCCAGUGCACCCCAAAUGGCACCUGUUGCUGAUAUAAGGAGCAGGGCAUUGGGCAAGCAGCUGUCGUGACAGAAACCGCCUUCUGUCAGCUCUGCCAAGAGCACGGUCACUGGACACGGAACUGCUCUGGGGGUCAAAGGACUCCUGGUUCAGAACCACAGACCUUGUGGCACCAAGCUAAAAAAGCCUUUGGCUCUGCUCAGACUCUGCCCAGCUUCCAGCUCCAGCCACUGCUAUUGAGGGGAUGGCCUAGGGUCAGUGAAACACAAGUUGCCUAUUUCUAUCAGCCUCCUAUUCAGCUCUCCUCCUAGUCCAGCCAUGUAAUGCAAGUCAACAGGGUGCCUCCCUUAAAGGAGAUUUGCAUCUCUUGCAAUUCUCUUCCAGCACCCCAUGGAUAGGUCUGGGCCUCACACACCCAGCCAGGCCUUAAAAGUCUAUCCAAUAGCAUUAAGCUUAAAAAGCCCUCCCUGCCAGUUCCUAAAAACAGGG